rnacentral:rRNA from 1 species
CCUACGGGAGGCAGCAGAGAGGAAUAUUGGUCAAUGGACGAGAGUCUGAACCAGCCAAGUAGCGUGAAGGAUGACUGCCCUAUGGGUUGUAAACUUCUUUUAUAUAGGAAUAAAACGUUCCACGUGUGGGAUUUUGUAUGUACCAUAUGAAUAAGGAUCGGCUAACUCCGUGCCAGCAGCAGCGGUAAUACGGAGGAUCCGAGCGUUAUCCGGAUUUAUUGGGUUUAAAGGGAGCGUAGGUGGAUUGUUAAGUCAGUUGUGAAAGUUUGCGGCUCAACCGUAAAAUUGCAGUUGAAACUGGCAGUCUUGAGUACAGUAGAGGUGGGCGGAAUUCGUGGUGUAGCGGUGAAAUGCUUAGAUAUCACGAAGAACUCCGAUUGCGAAGGCAGUUCACUGGACUGCAACUGACACUGAGGCUCGAAAGUGUGGGUAUCAAACAGGAUUAGAUACCCCUGUAGUC